GGCUACCCCUUUCUCAUGUUCUGUUCACGCGUGAAAUCAAAACAACAACAACAUCUUCUCUCAAAACCUCACGCUUCAAAACAAAAAAACAAAAAAAACGCGAUCCUCACACUCGUCUCUAUUCUCUAAAGCUCGCGGCCUCUCUAACGGUUUUCCACCUUCAUCACUCGGUAUUCUCUCGUUCUCGUCGGCGCUUCAAACCUAUCGCGAAGCCUCUCUCAGUCCCUCAAGUUUCAAUAGACCAGUCUCCGUAUCAAUCAAGCGAAUCAAGCACUCGCGAUUGUAUUCGGGUCAUUCUCGAUCACUUUUCGGCCAGGUAAACGAAAACUAUACAUUGUGUAAAACUAAAGUUCUAAUCAUUUGCUUGUUGGUUUUAUGCAGAACAUGAUUUAUAAAAAAAUGUGAACGAAAGUAACAAAACAGAGAAGACACUAAAACAUGAUGAACCGAUUCUCCUUAACGAUCGAGUGAAGUCAGCAUAGGGAUUCUCUCACGAAAGUAUUAGGAUCAUUAUCGGUUUUUCAGUCUGGAAGCUCAAAAUAAUGGUUCAAGGCUGAAAGACAGUGUAGAACAACAGCUAUAGAAACUACACUAGUGCUACAUCACCUCAGCACCCUGGAGUUCUAUCUAGCUAGCAUCUCCUCAAGGUCUUUCAUUAGUGAGCACAAAAAGAUCUCAACCAUGGUAUUGGGAAGAAAUGGCAACAAGAGAUACAUAGACAGACAACAACAACACGAGAAUCAACUCUAAAUCUACUAUGAUGCUCAGUUUAUAUGCUUUACAUCAGAACAACAAUAGUGAGGCUGCAGCGUGGCAAGGACAUGUCAGCAGACUUCUUUUUUUUUGGAUAGCAAAGUCUUGGGUACACUUCAUGGAAUACUUAUGCAAGGACGUUGAAAGCAUUGGUUGAAAGUUUAAAGAUCGAAGAAUGCUUGAAGACCUUCGCAAAAUUAUGGAAAAAAGAAUGAUUGGAAACAAACUUGUAGCCUUUGGUUUAGGCUUUAGGACUGAUUUUAUAUUUUGUGUAAUUCAAUUGUAACCUCUCAAAUCAAAUGAUUAAGGAUUAGAAUACAUUUUGUAAUGUUCAAAUGAGGUUGGAAUGAAAAUUCUAUACGUAAUGUUUAAUUAUAA